rnacentral:misc_RNA from 1 species
GAUGAAGAACGUAGCGAAAUGCGAUACGUAAUGUGAAUUGCACAGUGAAUCAUCGAGUCUUUGAACGCACAUUGCGCCCCCUGGUAUUCCGGGGGGCAUGCCUGUCCGAGCGUCAUUGCUGCCCUCAAGCACGGCUUGUGUGUUGGGCCUCCGUCCUCCUCCCGGGGGACGGGCCCGAAAGGCAGCGGCGGCACCGCGUCCGGUCCUCGAGCGUAUGGGGCUUCGUCACCCGCUCUUGUAGGCCCGGCCGGCGCUUGCCGACACAUCAAUCUUUUUUCCAGGUUGACCUCGGAUCAGGUAGGGAUACCCGCUGAACUUAAGCAUAUCAAUAAGCGGAGGA